rnacentral:rRNA from 1 species
GCGCUGGAAACGGCGUCUAAUACUGGAUAUGACCUGCGAUCGCAUGGUCAGCAGUUGAAAAGAUUUUUCGGUCUGGGAUGGGCUCACGGCCUAUCAGCUUGUUGGUGAGGUAAUGGCUCACCAAGGCGUCGACGGGUAGCCGGCCUGAGAGGGUGACCGGCCACACUGGGACUGAGACACGGCCCAGACUCCUACGGGAGGCAGCAGUGGGGAAUAUUGCACAAUGGGCGAAAGCCUGAUGCAGCAACGCCGCGUGAGGGAUGACGGCCUUCGGGUUGUAAACCUCUUUUAGCAGGGAAGAAGCGAAAGUGACGGUACCUGCAGAAAAAGCGCCGGCUAACUACGUGCCAGCAGCCGCGGUAAUACGUAGGGCGCAAGCGUUAUCCGGAAUUAUUGGGCGUAAAGAGCUCGUAGGCGGUUUGUCGCGUCUGCUGUGAAAUCCCGAGGCUCAACCUCGGGUCUGCAGUGGGUACGGGCAGACUAGAGUGCGGUAGGGGAGAUUGGAAUUCCUGGUGUAGCGGUGGAAUGCGCAGAUAUCAGGAGGAACACCGAUGGCGAAGGCAGAUCUCUGGGCCGUUACUGACGCUGAGGAGCGAAAGGGUGGGGAGCAAACAGGCUUAGAUACCCUGGUAGUCCACCCCGUAAACGUUGGGAACUAGUUGUGGGGUCCAUUCCACGGAUUCCGUGACGCAGCUAACGCAUUAAG